GUUCAAAACAUUACAAAGCUCUUGAUAUAUCAUAUUUCAUACAUUUGAUUCAAGUGGGUUAUGAACUCCCAUUUUUACCCCGUAUACAGAUUGCAGAAUCACAUCGGUUACACAUCCACGUUUUUACAUAUUGCCAUACUAGUGACUAUUGUAUUCUGCUAUCUUUCCUAUCCUCUACUAUCCCCCCUUCCCUCCCUUCCAACUUCUCUCUCUACCCCAUCUACUGUAAUUCAUUUCUCUCCCUUGAUUUUUUUU
rnacentral:lncRNA from 1 species